rnacentral:misc_RNA from 1 species
AGAAUUGAUGCAGAUGGUCUGGAAUUGAUGGAAACUAUUCGAUCCUUGUUGGAUAAUUAUGUCGAUAAUGUGCAAUUUUUGAAAGAAAUGAUGCAUUGGAGUGGGUAUCCUAAGUUAGGAUGGCCUUAUUUCUAACACAUUUUCCUUCUUAUAAGAAGUUAAUUUUAAAAAACCUCAUACUUUUCCCUAGAAACUUUUUCUUCUCCCUUAAUUUUCUCAUUCUUUUUUCCUUUCUUUCUUUUGAUCUCCUCCUUUUUAGGUUAUCAGUAG